AUUCCAGCUCCAAUAGCGUAUAUUAAAGUUGUUGUGGUUAAAAAGCUCGUAGUUGGAUCUCGGCGGUCUGAGGGCGGUUCGCUCUUCAGCGCUACUGCCCCGCUUUGCCCGUGUGUUUGGCGGAGGUUUCGGGGUGCUCUUCGUUGAGUGACUCGGAGCGCCGUCAGGUUUACUUUGAAAAAAUUAGAGUGCUCAAAGCAGGCUUUUCACGCUUGAAUAUUCGUGCAUGGAAUAAUGGAAUAGGAACUCGUUUCUAUUUUGUUGGUUUUCGGAAAUCGAGUUAAUGAUUAACAGGGACAAUUGGGGGCAUUAGUAUUCAGACGACAGAGGUGAAAUUCUUGGACCGUCUGAAGACUGACUACUGCGAAAGCAUUUGCCAAGAGUGUUUUCAUUA
rnacentral:rRNA from 1 species